rnacentral:sRNA from 1 species
UUUUUUCACUUGUCGGGAAGGGUGAGAACCUUCGAUUAAGGUUCGACUCGAGCGAAAGCGAGAGAACGUUGCCAACGGCAACGGCCCGAAGGGUGAGGAGCGAAGCGACGAAUAAUCCUUCCCCCACCACCA